UAAAAAAUAUAAAAAUUUAAUACUAAGUUAUUAAUAGAUAAGGUCUUUAAAGUUAAUAAUUUUGGCGGUAUUAUAGUCAUUUUAGAGGAACCUGUGUUAUAAUUGAUGGUCCACAAUUUAUUCUACUUAAUUUAGUUAAUCAGUUUAUAUACCGCCGUUUUCAGGAAAUUUUAAAUGAAAAAUUAAUUUUUAUAAUUUUUUUAUAAAGAAAAUAAUUCAGGUCAAGGUGUAGUUUAUAGUUAAGUAAAUAUGGGUUACAAUAAAAUUAUUUAAAUUUAUGGAUUAAUAAUUGAAAAUUAUUAUGAAAAUGGAUUUAAAAGUAAAUUAAAUAAAUUAAUUUAAUUGAUUUAUGCUCUAUAAUAUGU
rnacentral:rRNA from 1 species